AACGUCGGCAAAUGACUUGUUAAGAUGAUCUCUCUGCUCUCUGUAUAUUUUCUCGUACUCGUUCACUCUAUCGAUCUCUUCCAUUGACUGCCACUUUACUGCUUCCCAGAAUUCCAAUCCACCCUCACAAAUUUACCACUUCUUCCAUUUCCUCCCCACCAAUCCAAUCCAAUCUUCCCACCGCCAAAGAUUCAUACUGGUUUUCGAAUUAUCGUUUUUUCUUCUUCUUCGAGCUCGAAGCUUUUCCGGGUACGUUGAAUUUUAACGAAUAGCAUCGUCAGCCAUGGCGGUUUUCGGCGUAUCGGGCUCUAUGGUUAUUUGCUUCUAGCUCUGAGCUGUUCUGGGUUCGUUUUGAUUGCGUCCAAUAGUACCUGAAUCUGGUUUUAACUGCCAUUUGAAGGUUUUUGGGUAUUGAGGGAUUUCGGGUGGAUACCAUUUUUGGGUUGGUUUCCGUAUUUUUGGGCUUGUGGGUUAUGGUGGUAAAGCUGGUAAUUGCAGUUGGCGUAUAAGUGCUUUUUCAGAAAGGACUUUUGGGCAUUGAGAAUUGAGCUCUUCUGUUGCGCAGGGAGCUUCUUUGCAGAAUAUUAGUGUUUUUUCAAUGAGGACUUUCGGGCAUUGGGAUUUGAGAGCUUCUGUUGACUUGGUACGUUUUUGUUUAAACUUUGGUUGGUUUUGCUGCUUUUGUUGUUUGAUUACGAAAUUGGAGGUUUAGGGUUUCAGGGAGCUUUUCCGCAGAGUACAGUUGUCUUGUAUAGGUUUGGGUAUUUGGUUUCAGAGAUAUAAAGUCGAAUUCUUUUCGGGAUUGGUUAUUUUGGUAAUCUUCUAUUUGUCAUUACUGGCAUUUCGAGAUAGGAGGUGUGAAAUUUGGCAUUUGACAGAGUGUUUGUUUUCUCUUGUGAUUAUCAUGGCUGGUGGAAGAAAUGGGGAGACUGUAAAAGGCUAGGAAGUUCAUCAAACCAUCUUAGGAUUUCCCGAACUCCAUUGCUGAUGGAGGUUUCUCCUAGGCUCGGCUCAAAAGGCCUAAUUAAGAAACAUGAGUUUGUAAGGAUAAUAAUUCAAUGCCUGCUUUCAAUUGGCUAUGAGAAGUCUGCUUCAUGCUUGGAGUUGGAGUCUGGCAUUUCAUGCAAAUCCGAUGAUUUUCAAAUGCUGGAAUCAUAGAUAUCAAGUGGGAAUUGGGAUGGUUGUGUUGAUACCCUGAAUACCAUCAAUGAUUUGACAGAUGAUACGAGAGCUGCUGCUUUGUUUCUUGUAUUCAAACAAUGUCUUUUGGAGUAUUUGAAAUGUGGGGAUGACAAAUUGGCUCUGGCCAUUUUGCAGAAAGAGGUGUCAACAUUACAUGUAGACAGAGGGAAAGUUCAUAACCUUGCUCGCAGUACCCUGUCGUCGAAGGAAAUGGAGCAGAGAAAAAUAGAUGAUAUUGCUGUUUGUGAGUUGCGUAAAAAACUAUUGCAAGAAUUAGAAAAAUUGUUUCCUCCACCAAUCACACUGCUCGAGAACAGGAUGGAACAUCUGGUUGAAACUGCUGUUUUGUCCCAGAUUGAUUCAUGUAUGUAUCACAAUUUGUCGGAUGCAGUUUCACUUUAUGCUGACCAUUUCUAUGGUAGGGAUCAGAUCCCCACUGAAACUGUUCAGGUGUGAUUUGCUGUCAAUAAUGUUUAUGUUUUGGAAAUUGAAGUUAUGAGGGUUUUACUUUUGUUUGCUCAGAUGUUCUUCUAUUGGAGGACUCACAUACACAUGAACACAUGUUUCACCUGAUGCAGAUUUUGACUGAGCAUAAGGAAGGUGCUGGAGAAAGGUAGGGUGACAUUACAACAUACUCUGAGGAGUCACCAGAAACCGGUAUCCUUUCUAGCAUGGAGCCCCGACGACUCAAAGUUGCUUACAUGUGGAAAUGUUGAAGUCCUCAAACUAUGGGAUGUGGAAACAGGUACAUGCAAGCAUACAUUUGGGGAUCCCGGCUUAUUGUCAGCUCAUGUGCUUGGUUUCCUGACUCAAAGCGACUUGUGAUGUCAGCGAGUUGAAAGCAUGGAGAGGGAUAAGGAUGCCCAAGAUUUUAGAUCUUGCUGUGACACCAGAUGGGGAAAAUCUUAUCAGCAUUUUCUCUGAUAAAGAAAUUCAAAUUUUAAAUGUGGGAACAAAUGUCGAACGUGUCAUUUCUAAAGACAAUUCUAUCACAUCCCUUUCAAUUUCUGGAGACAGUAAGUUCUUUAUUGUCAACCUAAAUAGCCAGGAGAUUCAUAUGUGGGAUGUCGUUGGGGAGUGGGAGAAGCCGCUGAAGUUUACGGGCCACAAGCAGAGCAAGUAUGUGAUACGCUCCUGCUUCGGUGGAUUGAACAACACAUUUAUUGCCAGUGGUAGUGAGAAUUCACAGGUAUGCUUCCCAAAUUUGAGAAUUUGCCUACAUAUGCUGAGAUACAAAUCAUUCUUGUAUCCAAUGAACCAAAUGGAACCUCGUCUAGGUAUACAUUUGGAACUCAUGAAAUUCUAGGCCGAUAGAGGUUUUGCAUGGGCAUUCAAUGACCGUGAACUGUGUGAGUUGGAAUCAUAAGAGACCGCACAUGCUGGCAUCAGCAAGCGAUGAUCAUACCAUCCGUAUAUGGGGGUCGAGCCGACCUUACAAGAUUCAACCUCAGAAGCUCAGUUGAAAAGAUCAUAUCUCCUAUUUUACAUCCUCUCACCCAUGUAUAUAUGGCUUUUGUUCUUUUCAAGCUCCUAUUCGUUAUUGAGUGUGAAUAUGUUUUCUGAAAA